ACAAGAUCCUCAAUCAAGGCAUCCUCAGUCAUACCAAGCAACGGAUUAUUCAAGCACAUCAAAGGUGGUGUCUUCAACACUUGUUAAAUCAAAGUUAGAAGAGUGCGACACGAGCCUUAAGUAAUAGAGAAGGGUGGGACUGGAGUAUUCCUACCCCCAUUCUGAGUAUCUUUGGGUAUGGGACGUAUGAUCCAACGCUCAUCAUAUUCACCUCUAUUCAUAGACUUUAUCACAAUUCUAAUUAUAC
rnacentral:lncRNA from 1 species